CUUCUUGUAUUUAUUAGAAGUCGUGCCUGCCCACUGAGUAUUUUUGAAGGGCCGCGGUAUUUUGACCGUGCAAAGGUAGCAUAAUCAUUAGUCUUUUAAUUGAGGGCUGGGAUGAAUGGUUUGACGAAAUAAUGUCUGUCUUUUUAAUAUUUGUUGAAUUUUACUUUUAAGUCAAAAGGCUUAAAUUUUGAUGAGGGACGAGAAGACCCUAUAGAUCUUUAUUAUAAGUUAUGGAUUUGGUUUUUGGUUGUUUUAGGAUUUCUUUAUUUUAUAAUUUUGUUGGGGUGACAUGAGAAUAUAAUUAACUUCUUUUUUUAUUACUAUAAUUGUUGGAUUGGUUGAUCCUUUAUUAAGGAUUUAAGAUUAAGAUACCUUAGGGAUAACAGCGUUAUUCUAUUUGAGAGUUCAUAUCGACAAUAGAGAUUGCGACCUCGAUGUUGGAUUAAGAUUUCUAAUUGGUGUAGAAGCUAAUUUAUGUUAGUCUGUUC
rnacentral:rRNA from 1 species